rnacentral:rRNA from 1 species
GUCCAUGGCCAUACCACCCUGAACGCGCCCGAUCUCAUUUGAUCUUGGAGGUUAAGCAGGGUCAGGUUAGUACUUGGAUGGGAGACCGCCUGGAAAUACCGGGUGCUGUAGGCU